GCUACGGGCGGCAGCAGUAGGGAAUCUUCCACAAUGGGCGAAAGCCUGAUGGAGCAACGCCGCGUGGGUGAAGAAGGUCUUCGGAUCGUAAAACCCUGUUGUUAGAGAAGAAAGUGCGGGAGAGUAACUGUUCACGUGUCGACGGUAUCGAACCAGAAAGCCACGGCUAACUACGUGCCAGCAGCCGCGGUAAUACGUAGGUGGCAAGCGUUAUCCGGAUUUAUUGGGCGUAAAGGGAACGCAGGCGGUCUUUUAAGUCUGUUGUGAAAGCCUUCGGCUUACCCGGAGUAGUGCAUUGGAAACUGGGAGACUUGCGUGCAGAAGAGGAGAGUGGAACUCCAUUUGUAGCGGUGAAAUGCGUAGAUAUAUGGAAGAACACCAGUGGCGACCGCGGCUCUCUGGUCUGUAACUGACGCUGAGGUUCGAAAGCGCGGGUAUCGAACAGGAUUAGAUACCCGUGUAGUC
rnacentral:rRNA from 1 species